rnacentral:rRNA from 1 species
AACCAGCACCUCAAGUGGUCAGGAUGAUUAUUGGGCCUAAAGCAUCCGUAGCCUGUUUUGUAAGUCUUCGGUUAAAUCCAUCAACUCAAGUGAUGGGCCGCCGGAGAUACUGCAAAACUAGGGAAUGGGAGAGGUAGACGGUACUCGGUAGGAAGGGGUAAAAUCCUUUGAUCUAUUGAUGACCACCUGUGGCGAAGGCGGCUUACUGGACCAAUACUGACGCUGAGGUACGAAAGCGUGGGGAGCGAACAGG